AGUUUGAUCAGUGGCUCAGAUUGAACGCUGGCGGAAUGCUUUACACAUGCAAGUCGAACGGCAGCACGGGGCAACCUGGUGGCGAGUGGCGAACGGGUGAGUAAUACAUCGGAACGUGCCCAAUCGGUGGGGAUAACGUAGCGAAAGUUACGCUAAUACCGCAUACGAUCUACGGAUGAAAGCGGGGGAUCGCAAGACCUCGCGCGAAUGGAGCGGCCGAUGUCAGAUUAGGUAGUUGGUGGGGUAAAGGCUCACCAAGCCGACGAUCUGUAGCUGGUCUGAGAGGACGACCAGCCACACUGGGACUGAGACACGGCCCAGACUCCUACGGGAGGCAGCAGUGGGGAAUUUUGGACAAUGGGCGCAAGCCUGAUCCAGCCAUUCCGCGUGCAGGAUGAAGGCCUUCGGGUUGUAAACUGCUUUUGUACGGAACGAAACGGUUCUCUCUAAUACAGGGGGCUAAUGACGGUACCGUAAGAAUAAGCACCGGCUAACUACGUG
rnacentral:rRNA from 1 species